rnacentral:rRNA from 1 species
CUUUACUGUAACUUGACAUCGCUGUUUAGUUUUUGCUGUGUAGCAUAGGUGGGAUACUUUGAAGCGCAGGCGCUAGCUUGCGUGGAGUCACCGGUGAAAUACCACCCUGCAAAAAACGAACAGCUCACCGACCAUCAUUAACUGGUGGCGGGACGAUGUCUGGUGGGCAGUUUGACUGGGGCGGUCGCCUCCCAAAAAGUAACGGAGGCGCCCUAAGGUCCCCUCAGGUUGGACGGAAAUCAACCGACGAGUGCAUAGGCAAAAGGGGGCUUGACUGAGAGACCGACGGGUCGAUCAGGUACGAAAGUAGGGCUAAGUGAUCCGGUGGUACCGCGUGGAAGGGCCAUCGCUCAACGGAUAAAAGGUA